CUAAAGUUUAUUUUGGUGUUCAGCACCAGGCUACAUAGCUGUUUUUGUCAGAAGUGAUGUUCAGAUCAGUUGUUUGUAUGUCAUCAGAGCGCAAGGAGCCUGAUGGAAUUGAGGAUAGUCCAGAAAUGCCAAACACUGGUAUGUAAGACAACAAAGGAACCUGAAUAUUUACAUAGCAAUGGAGCCACUAUAUUUCUAAUAUUGUCAUACAGCUCAAUUCAAUUAAUUUCUUUAUCUAUUGUAAACUUUCAAUAACGGCUAAGUCUCCAAAAAAUCGCCAGCCUUUUGUAUCCACUGGGUUGAAUGUUCUGAUCAGUCAAAUGAAGGCCAGUCUGAGCAUGGUGGCAUUCCUAAUUCACAGCAACCACUGUUGCAGCCAAGGAGAACUGGUAUUGAUGUUGGUGAACUGAGAUUGUGAUAAUGUUUUGGCAGAAGUCAUAAAGCAGACUGGAGCUAACACAGAUCCACCAGAUGAAGGGAAACCAACAAAACUUUGUGUGGUGUCCGCAGCUGAUGAAGGUGGGAACUACUAAACACUGUUGCAUUGGCAUUCAGAAUGGUUUACGUGUAUACUUUUUCAGUUUCAGUGGUAUAUGCAGCAUUCAAUCAAUAUUUCAUCAUACUGUAGAUGUUCUACACACAGACCAUUUGAUUCUUGUCAAUACCUUAAAAUUAUUUUGGUGUUCAGCACCAGGCUACAUAGCUUCUAUUGUCAGAAGUGAUGUUCAGAUCAGUUGUUUGUAUGUCAUCAGAGAACAAUGAGGCUCAUGGAGGGAAGGAAAGUCCAGAAAAGACAAAUACUGAAGUCAUGAAGCAGACUGAAGCUAACACAGGUCCACUGCAUGAAGGGCAACUAACAGGAAAUGGUGCUGGGCCCACAGCUGAAGAAGGUGGGACCUACUUAACACUGUUGCAUUGGCAUUCAGAAUGGUUUACGUGUUUACUGUUUCAGUUUCAGUGGUAUAUGCAGCAUUCAAUCAAUAUUUCAUCAUACUGUAGAUGUUCUACCUACAGAUCAUUUGAUUCUUGUCAAUACCUUUUGGUGUUCAGCACCAGGCUACAUAGCUGCUAUUGUCAGAAGUGA
rnacentral:lncRNA from 1 species